CAGGGUACUCGAGUGGCGAACGGGUGAGUAACACGUGGGUGAUCUGCCCUGCACUUCGGGAUAAGCUUGGGAAACUGGGUCUAAUACCGGAUAGGAACCAUCUUUAGUGUGGUGGUUGGAAAGUUUUUCGGUGUAGGAUGAGCUCGCGGCCUAUCGGCUUGUUGGUGGGGUAAUGGCCUACCAAGGCGGCGACGGGUAGCCGGCCUGAGAGGGUGUACGGCCACAUUGGGACUGAGAUACGGCCCAG
rnacentral:rRNA from 1 species